GCGCAUGCGAUAGCUACCAUGCAGCUKARCGGUUCGUUUCCUUCSGGAGACUGAKAGCGGCGCACGGGUGCKGAACACGUGUGCWACCUGCCUUUAUCARGGGGAUASCCUUUCGAAAGGAAKAUUAAUACCCCAUAAUAUAUUGAGUGGCAUCACUUGAUAUUGAAAACUCCGGUGGAUAGAGAUGGGCACGCGCACGAUUARAUAGUUGGUAGGGUAACGGCCUACCMAGUCAACUGUCCUUAGGGGGCCUGAGAGGGUGAUCCCCCACACUGGUACUGAGACACGGACCAGACUCCUACGGGAGGCAGCAGUGAGGAAUAUUGGACAAUGGGUGAGAGCCUGAUCCAGCCAUCCCGCGUGAAGGACGACGGCCCUAUGGGUUGUAAACUUCUUUUGUAUAGGGAUAAACCUACUCUCGUGAGAGUAGCUGAAGGUACUAUACGAAUAAGCACCGGCUAACUCCGUGCCAGCAGCCGCGGUAAUACGGAGGGUGCAAGCGUUAUCCGGAUUUAUUGGGUUUAAAGGGUCCGUAGGCUGAUUUGUAAGUCAGUGGUGAAAUCUCACAGCUCAACUGUGAAACUGCCAUUGAUACUGCAAGUCUUGAGUGUUGUUGAAGUAGCUGGAAUAAGUAGUGUAGCGGUGAAAUGCAUAGAUAUUACUUAGAACACCAAUUGCGAAGGCAGGUUACUAAGCAACAACUGACGCUGAUGGACGAAAGCGUGGGGAGCGAACAGGAUUAGAUACCCUGGUAGUCCACGCCGUAAACGAUGCUAACUCGUUUUUGGGUUUUCGGAUUCAGAGACUAAGCGAAAGUGAUAAGUUAGCCACCUGGGGAGUACGUUCGCAGAAUGAAACUCAAAGGAAUUGACGGGGCCCGCACAGCGGUGGAUUAUGUGGUUUAAUUCGAUGAUACGCGAGGAACCUUACCAAGGCUUAAUGGGAAUUGACAGGUUAGAAUAGACUUUCUUCGGACAUUUCAAGUGCUGCAUGGUGUCGU
rnacentral:rRNA from 1 species